GGGUAGAGAACAGGCAGACAGAGGCCGGAUUACAUGAUCAUGUUCAUUUGAUCACUGUUAAAGAUAAUAAUAAUAAAUAAAUAACCACACCAGACGCAGAGAAUGUGUCUUUGCUGCAGUCUGCCUGGUCUUGUGAUGCAAUCAAUGAGAUUAAAUCAUUGACUGGCCAGGCCAGGCCAUGGGAGGCCUGGAUGAAAUAUAACACUAUGGCAGGCAGGCUCGGAAAACACCCAGCCUCACCAACUCAGGCUGCUGGACGCCUGCUCUGCUCAGGCUGACGUUUCCAAAGGUCGUCAGGCAGCUAGCAGCAAAGCUAACAGCUGCUCAUGCGCCCUUUUAAUCACGCAGAGUCCAUUUUAAACCCCACUCAGGCGAACAGCACGUACACCCACCGUCUAACGUCCCUUUUACCGCGAUGACCUCUUCAAAAAAACAACCGUUUAAAUACAGGGGAAAGUGUUGCUGACGUCUCCAGGGUAGUUCCCUUCACCAAGCCGCUAAGCUAGGAUAAUGGUCGAUAACCCAGCAGACGUCGCAGCGUAUUUGCAAACCAGCCAGAAGGCAAUAAACGACCUCAGCCGCUUUAACGUCUUUCGAAAUUUCGCCAGCGUACACGACAAGCCUUAUCAGUGGCAAGUUUAGAAACGUAACGCAGCGAGGCCUUUAACCGCAGCUCCAUCGAAUCAACAGCCUGAUGACAGCUGGGCCAGUGGGGAGACACUUCCGUCUCCAUUCCCCGCCUCCAGCUGCCUUCGCCAGCCACUCUGUGAAAGGAUUUCCUCCACAUCGCCCCGCCCACAUUAUCUGUAAUCUGCCCUCUGAUAGGAUAAUUGCUGUCAGCACACGCCCACAUCACAUAUUGUCAAUGAAUGGCAGUUCCAUCUUUUUCCAAAUAAGGAGGGCUUGAAAUCAAUAGCAGUUGUAGGAAAGGUAGAUUAAUGAAGAUUAAAAAUACCGUAUAUGUGUAUGUGUGUGUGUUUCUGUUUCCCGUGGGGUGUGGAGUGGGCUUUCAAAGCAGCUUUUUGAACUUUUUGUAACAUUCAUAACUUUGUGGUCAUUCAAGAAUAUAAAAUUGUAAUUUCUUAAAGAAA